UCUCUGGUAGUAUAUCGGUUAGUACACGCGCCUGUCAUUAGAGUAUUUUGAAGUAUGUUUUCGCGCGAAAGCUGGGUUCGACUCCCAGCCAGAGAG
rnacentral:tRNA from 1 species